rnacentral:rRNA from 1 species
UACGGAGGGUGCAAGCGUUAUCCGGAAUCACUGGGUUUAAAGGGUGCGUAGGUCGGCAAUUUAUACAGAUGUGAAAGCCCGGCGCUUAACGUCGGAAUUGCAUUUGAUACUGUAGAACUUGAAUCAGGUUGAGGUGGGCGGAAUGUGGCAUGUAGCGGUGAAAUGCAUAGAUAUGCCAUAGAACACCAAUUGCGAAGGCAGCUCACUGGCCCUGUAUUGACACUGAGGCACGAAAGCGUGGGGAGCGAAC